AGUAUAGCUCAGUGAUAGAGUGUGUGCUUAGCAUGCACGAGGUCCUGGGUUCAAUACCCAGUCCCACUG
rnacentral:tRNA from 1 species